rnacentral:rRNA from 1 species
AGAGUUUGAUCCUGGCUCAGGAUAAACGCUAGCGGCAGGCCUAACACAUGCAAGUCGAGGGGCAGCAGGGAAGUAGCUUGCUACUUCUGCUGGCGACCGGCGCACGGGUGCGUAACGCGUAUGCAACCUACCUUUAACAGGGGGAUAACACUGAGAAAUUGGUACUAAUACCCCAUAAUAUCAUAGAAGGCAUCUUUUAUGGUUGAAAAUUCCGAUGGUUAGAGAUGGGCAUGCGUUGUAUUAGCUAGUUGGUGAGGUAACGGCUCACCAAGGCGACGAUACAUAGGGGGACUGAGAGGUUAACCCCCCACACUGGUACUGAGACACGGACCAGACUCCUACGGGAGGCAGCAGUGAGGAAUAUUGGUCAAUGGACGCAAGUCUGAACCAGCCAUGCCGCGUGCAGGAUGAAUGUGCUAUGCAUUGUAAACUGCUUUUGUACGAGGGUAAAAACAGGUACGUGUACCUGGUUGAAAGUAUCGUACGAAUAAGGGUCGGCUAACUCCGUGCCAGCAGCCGCGGUAAUACGGAGGACCCGAGCGUUAUCCGGAUUUAUUGGGUUUAAAGGGUGCGUAGGCGGAUUGGUAAGUUAGAGGUGAAAGCUCAGCGCUUAACGUUGAAACUGCCUCUGAUACUGUCGGUCUAGAGUAUAGUUGCGGAAGGCGGAAUGUGUGGUGUAGCGGUGAAAUGCUUAGAUAUCACACAGAACACCGAUUGCGAAGGCAGCUUUCCAAGCUAUCACUGACGCUGAGGCACGAAAGCGUGGGGAGCGAACAGGAUUAGAUACCCUGGUAGUCCACGCCGUAAACGAUGAUAACUCGUUGCAGGCGAUACACAGUCUGUGACUUAGCGAAAGCGUUAAGUUAUCCACCUGGGGAGUACGUUCGCAAGAAUGAAACUCAAAGGAAUUGACGGGGGCCCGCACAAGCGGAGGAACAUGUG